rnacentral:rRNA from 1 species
GUGGGGAAUCUUAGACAAUGGGGGAAACCCUGAUCUAGCCAUGCCGCGUGCAGGAAGAAGGCGCUACGCGUUGUAAACUGCUUUUAACCGGGAAGAAACCCCAGGACGUGUCCUGGGUUGACGGUACCGGAGGAAUAAGCACCGGCUAACUUCGUGCCAGCAGCCGCGGUAAUACGAAGGGUGCAAGCGUUAUCCGGAUUCAUUGGGUUUAAAGGGUGCGUAGGCGGAGCGUUAAGUCAGUGGUGAAAUCCUGCAGCUUAACUGUAGACUUGCCAUUGAGACUGGCGCUCUUGAGUGCGCUUGAAGUGGGCGGAAUGUGCCGUGUAGCGGUGAAAUGCUUAGAUAUGGCACAGAACACCAAUUGCGAAGGCAGCUCACUAAGGCGAUACUGACGCUGAGGCACGAAAGCGUGGGGAUCGAACAGGAUUAGAAACCCCGGUAGUCC